UUCAAACAGUAAACGUGAGAACAUCAAAUGUCAAGGGAUUAUGGCUCUGCAGAACCAAGAGCCUAACAGAGAGAGAGGGAUGAAGAGAGGGAGUAACACGACGAGCAGAACAACAGAGGAAAUAUCAGCCUCCACAUGAUGCCAGACCAUCCAUUGAAAUUCAGAUGUAAAUCCAGGAUGGGGCAAGGCUAAAUUUAUCCACCUGAUCUCUGACUGGCCCACUACUACCUUGCCUGAGGACAUGUACUGCUCUGCCCAUAGAUAUUAUCACAACUUCACUCAGCAAACACAGAUGAAGAGCACAUGCACUCCCUUACUAAAAAACGCAGAUGCACUGCAUGCAUGCCAAGACUACGGGCAGGCGCCAUGAUGGACAGAUGGAAAGGGGACGCUCAACAAGUGUAAAGUGCAAAGGAAGUUAGCUGGAGCAGCGCUGUGCAGAGAGAGAGAGAGAGAGAGAG